GAUGAACGCUGGCGGCGUGCCUAAUACAUGCAAGUCGAGCGAACGGACGAGAAGCUUGCUUCUCUGAUGUUAGCGGCGGACGGGUGAGUAACACGUGGAUAACCUACCUAUAAGACUGGGAUAACUUCGGGAAACCGGAGCUAAUACCGGAUAAUAUUUUGAACCGCAUGGUUCAAAAGUGAAAGACGGUCUUGCUGUCACUUAUAGAUGGAUCCGCGCUGCAUUAGCUAGUUGGUAAGGUAACGGCUUACCAAGGCAACGAUGCAUAGCCGACCUGAGAGGGUAAUCGGCCACACUGGAACUGAGACACGGUCCAGACUCCUACGGGAGGCAGCAGUAGGGAAUCUUCCGCAAUGGGCGAAAGCCUGACGGAGCAACGCCGCGUGAGUGAUGAAGGUCUUCGGAUCGUAAAACUCUGUUAUUAGGGAAGAACAUAUGUGUAAGUAACUGUGCACAUCUUGACGGUACCUAAUCAGAAAGCCACGGCUAACUACGUGCCGGCAGCCGCGGUAAUACGUAGGUGGCAAGCGUUAUCCGGAAUUAUUGGGCGUAAAGCGCGCGUAGGCGGUUUUUUAAGUCUGAUGUGAAAGCCCACGGCUCAACCGUGGAGGGUCAUUGGAAACUGGAAAACUUGAGUGCAGAAGAGGAAAGUGGAAUUCCAUGUGUAGCGGUGAAAUGCGCAGAGAUAUGGAGGAACACCAGUGGCGAAGGCGACUUUCUGGUCUGUAACUGACGCUGAUGUGCGAAAGCGUGGGGAUCAAACAGGAUUAGAUACCCUGGUAGUCCACGCCGUAAACGAUGAGUGCUAAGUGUUAGGGGGUUUCCGCCCCUUAGUGCUGCAGCUAACGCAUUAAGCACUCCGCCUGGGGAGUACGACCGCAAGGUUGAAACUCAAAGGAAUUGACGGGGACCCGCACAAGCGGUGGAGCAUGUGGUUUAAUUCGAAGCAACGCGAAGAACCUUACCAAAUCUUGACAUCCUUUGACAACUCUAGAGAUAGAGCUUUCCCCUUCGGGGGACAAAGUGACAGGUGGUGCAUGGUUGUCGUCAGCUCGUGUCGUGAGAUGUUGGGUUAAGUCCCGCAACGAGCGCAACCCUUAAGCUUAGUUGCCAUCAUUAAGUUGGGCACUCUAAGUUGACUGCCGGUGACAAACCGGAGGAAGGUGGGGAUGACGUCAAAUCAUCAUGCCCCUUAUGAUUUGGGCUACACACGUGCUACAAUGGACAAUACAAAGGGCAGCGAAACCGCGAGGUCAAGCAAAUCCCAUAAAGUUGUUCUCAGUUCGGAUUGUAGUCUGCAACUCGACUACAUGAAGCUGGAAUCGCUAGUAAUCGUAGAUCAGCAUGCUACGGUGAAUACGUUCCCGGGUCU
rnacentral:rRNA from 1 species